UACGUAGGGUGCAAGCGUUGUCCGGAAUUAUUGGGCGUAAAGAGCUCGUAGGCGGUUCGUCGCGUCGGCUGUGAAAACCCGGAGCUCAACUCCGGGCCUGCAGUCGAUACGGGCGGACUAGAGUUCGGCAGGGGAGACUGGAAUUCCUGGUGUAGCGGUGAAAUGCGCAGAUAUCAGGAAGAACACCCGUGGCUAAGGGCGGCUCCUCUAGUACGGUACUGACGCUGAGACGCGAAAGCAUGGGGAGCGAACAGG
rnacentral:rRNA from 1 species